AAGGCUGAAACUUAAAGGAAUUGACGGAAGGGCACACCAGGAGUGGAGCCUGCGGCUUAAUUUGACUCAACACGGGAAAACUUACCAAGACCGAACAUUAGAGGGAAUGACAGAUUAAGGGUUUUUUCAUGAUUUAAUGGUGAGUGGUGCAUGGCCGUUCUUAGUUGGUGGAGUAAUUUGUCAGGUUAAUUCCGGUAACGAACGAGACUGAAACUUAUUAAUUAGUAUAUUUUCCAUGAGAAAAUAUUGUGGUAAAACACACGAGAGAAUGCGACUACUUAAAAGGACACAUUUCAAUUGAUUAUAAAUAAAUUAUUGUUCAACCACUUUGUGGAAGGCAUAUUUAAUUAUAAUAAAAGAAAAAGGAAGCAUUCAGCAAUAACAGGUCUGUGAUGCCCUUAGACAUCUUGGGCCGCACGCGCGCUACAAUGGAAAUGAAAAUGAGUAAAGAAUAAAGAAUUAAUUGAAUUGGAACGUUGUUUCUUUUUGAUUAAUUUCUUUGACUAACCAAAUUAGAAAUAAAAAGGAAAACUCAAAUCAAUGUACUUGACUGGGAUAGAUGAUUGGAAUUAUUUGUUUUGAACGAGGAAUUCCUUGUAAUAUCAUGUCAUUAACAUGAGAUGAAUACGUCCCUGCCCUUUGUACACACCGCCCGUCGCUCCUACCGAUUGAAUAAAGAGGUGAAAUUCUAAGACUAAAAAAAUAGAAAUAUUUUUUAGAAAUGGAUUUAAACCUCCUUAUUUAGAGGAAGGAGAAGUCGUAACAAGGUUUCC
rnacentral:rRNA from 1 species